AUGCAGGGGGAGCUGUCCAGGCAUCCACUGCUCACCCUGCACUUCCCGGGGGCCAGGCUGACUUGUCUCUCUGUUCCAGAGGGGGCUGGCCCAUGUCCUCAAGGACACUACUGCCCUAGGGGCUCGGCUGUGCCCCAGCCUUGCCCACCUGGCACCUUCGGCUCACGCGCCAAGCUCAGUUCAGAGGAUUCCUGCUCCCCAUGCCCGCCGGGCCACUACUGCAGCUCUGCUGGCCUCGCCAGCCCUUCUGGACUCUGCAGCACAGGUUUCUUCUGCCUCAGUGGGGCGCUCGUCCCCAACGGCUCCCUGGGAGACCAGGCCGGCGGCCCCUGCCCCACAGGUACCCUGGUGGCUGGCCUGAGAGGAGCUGGGGAGGUGGGGAACGAGCAGACUCCAAGGCUGCUACCCAGACAGGGGCCGAGGGCCAUCAGGAGGCUGCCAGCAGUCCCCUGGGCCCUCCAGGAACUGAGUUUAGGAGGGGGCCGCUCUGAGCACCAAAGAGUAGGACUUCUUGUGGCCCUGACCUGUGGCCCUGCUUUCCUUUCAGGACACUUCUGCCCCCCAGGCACUGCUGUCCCCAGGCCCUGCCCGGCAGGCACCCACAAUGGCCUAGCUGCCCGAGGCCACUGUGAGCCUUGUCCAGAGGGUUUCUUCUGCCUGGCAAAUACCUCCUCUGUGGUGGGGAAUGAGUGUCCAGCCGGCCAUUACUGCCCUGCCUCCACCUCCUCUGCUUCUCAGUUCCCGUGCCCCAGGGGCACCUACAAUCCACAGAGAGGGGGUGUCCAGCAGUCAGACUGCAUCGCCUGCGAGCCAGGUAAGGGGGCAGGGACACCCCCACCCCAGACACAUUAG
rnacentral:lncRNA from 1 species